AAAAUUACUCGCGCCGCCAUUAUCUUUUUACAAACUGUUUGCCCAGCCUAAUUCAAUCAAGCGCACAACAUGAAAAAAACGAAUCUACAGUAAAAGCCAAAAGCACCGUUAUACGUCAUGAACCCGGAUACCUGCUUUUGCGCCCUCUAAAAGUGUCCCGUAAAGAAAACUAAUACGGCCUCCACUGUGCUAAGUUUGUCCACAAGAACAGACAGAACUUGUCGUUCUCGAAAACGGACGUUAAAAUCAUCUAACGGAAAAAUCACGACGGAAACUCCGGCACGCAAAAUCUCUGAUUGUUAAGUCGAAUUACUUGGGAGAAUCCGAAACAGCUGAUAGUGGAGCUUAAUGCGGAAUUGAGAACGCUCCUGUUGCACUCCCCUGGAUAUCAGCAUCUCCGCCGUUUGUAUUUGUACUACAAACUGCUCCUAGAACAUUCAUCAUACAGCAUCAUACAUAGGAAGAGCAGCAUCAUACAUGCUGUCAUCCGUGUCAGGGGGCCUCUGUUAAUACGGAAUCGUUCCUGCCUGGCCAUCUCAACUGGCAUGCAACGACAGAACUGAAGAACAUUGUACGCCACAAGUGCAUAAAAUACUAAACCAUCUGGAGUUUUCAGAAAGCCAAACUGACCCAUCACAUAAGCACAGUAAAAUCAGUCAAAUCGACUAGACUGACUGGGCCUGUCCUGCUAAACUGCGAUUUGUGUGACUUAAUAGAUGCCAUGUUUAACUAGGUCCACAAACUGCUGGGUUUUGCUCUCCGUUCCGGUGAGAUGUGUGCGGUAACCGCUUCUCAAAGGAAUAAUUGUUGAAGGCUUCAACUCGAAACAGCACAUAUAAUGUAAACCAGCGCUGAAGGAGGAGACGUACGCCUGCAAGGAAUGCGAUCGUUCCCUCGGUACGUGCCAUUACUAAAAUGUUCGAGAAACCCAUACACGGUCUAAGUGCCAGCUGCGAUGUCUCCGCCAAAGUAUUCACACUGGAGAUCCACUGAUACCAGUACAUCCAGGAGGGGAUGGCGGCGCUGAAUUGCCAGUGUAAGUCCUGGUGGAUAAAGAACGCAGUCAUUCGAAGCGGUGCAGAUCCAAGCCGUUUACGUGAGAAAUUUGCGACAUCAUCACAAAACGACUACUCCGAUCCCGAUGGGCACAGACGAGCGCACACAAUGUAGUUGACAUCACUAAACUUACGUAAUUCACAAAGUCAAGUUACUUCCGGAACUACUGUAGACCAUAGUGGCCAAGACAGCUCUUGUGAACGACAGCGAGAAUUCAAAGACAGCAUCGAGCUGUAAGCAAUUAUUUAAUACGACAGCUCGUCACAGUUGCUUUCGAUGUCAAGGGAAUCGGGCAAUGAAUUUGUUCAAGAUUACCACGAAGUCACUCUUGCCAACAUCAGUUUGGAAUAUUUAUUGGUGACUGGAUGUCAUUUUAUAUGUUACACGAGCGACCGUAACGAAGUAUGACGAUUUACCUAAUAACCGUAACGACGGUACCCGAUUUCAUGUUCCUGUUCGGGUGUUCACAUUCCCGCGCGUAGGGUUACAAGAUUAUUAGCCCACUACUCCAUUACAGUUAACUGUAGGAAAGGAGAAAGGAAGGAGAAA